ensembl:lncRNA GJD2-DT GJD2 divergent transcript
GUCGCUGCGCGUCGGAGCCCGAGGGGCCGGGGACGCGCGCGGGGGGAGAGGGGCAAGAGUCCUGGAGGCCCGGCGGGGAGCGGGGCGAUUUCGAAAGGAAGGACUGCAGCGCCCCUCGGGGCUUCUCGGGGAGCCCAGGAGGAAAGAGCUCAAUGCGGAAUCACAUAGGCAAAGGCUCUGAUUAUUUUCCUUGCAAUCGAAGACAAAAGCCGCCAUGUUUAUUAAAAUGAAAGUCGUAUUUUUACUCUUCCCUGGAAAGAAGUAUGUGCAACCAGACCAUCCCACCAAAGUCCUUCUAGAGAAAGCACAUUGGCUGGUCCAGUAAUACGUCUGGCAUGUGGUGCCAGGUGCCAUUGAAGCUGAGGAGAUUCCAAUGUAUGCAAGCAUGUUUGAUGAAUCAGGGGCUGAUGACUAUCGGAAAACUGUGGCGUAAUGGAAGAUCCCCAGAAGGAGAAUUUACAGCUACUUCAAGUGGAAUCUGGCACAAUGAACAGACUGGCCACAGGAGCUGAAGACUGGAGGAGAGUGACACUUCUAACUAAUAGCAUCUAAAACAUCCCAGAUGAGCUACUUCAAGAGUGUUUGUGAACAUCUUGAAACAAAGGCCUAUCUUGUAAACAAACAGAGCUGUCCCACUAAACUCUCCUGGCCUAGGGCCUCUUCUGGGAGCAUUCAGAGAAAGCAGGACUUAGAGGAUAGGGAGUUAAACUUCCUGCCCUGGUUCAGAUCUGCAACUGAGCAGUGAAUGACUCAGCACCAGGAGAAGGCAUCUGUGGGCCUGAAUGCUGGCAGCCAGGAAUAAGUGCAAAGGCUGUGCCAGUGAUGGCCAGAGUGGACGGGACAUGGCAGUGGAGGCUGGAGUCAUAGUCCACAAUUUACCCUCAGCAUCUGAGAGAUACCCCUAGGGAAUCCCGGAGCUGUGGAACAAGGAGGAAAUUAUGUGAGAGAUGGGGAGGGGACCAAUGCCACUCAGUUUCACAGAGAGGGGUUAUCAGGCAAAAGAAUAUAGGGUAGUUCUUCUGAAUCUCGCACACAUUGGAAUCACUUGGGAACUGAUUCCUGGAUCUUAGCUCUAACAAUUCUGAUUUAAUUGGUCUGGGUGCAUUUGAGCAUUUUGGGAAGUUUUUAGUUUCCCAGGAAAUUCUAAUGUUCAGUCAACGUUGAGAACCAUUGAUCUAAGCCUAGGGCUCUCCAACUUAAACUUACAUCGGAGUCACUUGGAGGGCUUGGUAAGCAGUAAAUUACUGAUUCCAUCCCUAGAGUUUCUGAUUCUGUAGGUCUGGAGUGAGGCAUGAGAAUCUGUAUUUCUGUGAAGCUCCCAGAUGAUGCUGAUGCUGAAGGUCUGUGGAACACAUUCUGAAUGGUACUGACUUGGGUUAAGUAUUUAUUGAGAUGACAUUUGUACCCACCAUGUGGGGUGGGUGCUGGGGACAUUUGGAUCAUGGAAACAGUAUAGAGCAGGACCCAACACAUAGGCUUAUUAACAGCCUGAGCCUCAUGCUGCCUCUGCUGCAUUCCAGCUACAUGAACUUGAAUAAUUUACUCAAACUUUCUAGACCUAAUUUCCCCAUGAGUAAAACAAGAACAUUAUGGCAGCUACUCACAAGUUGGUCGCAAUAUUUUUUUUGUUUUGUUUUGAGGCUGGAGUGCAGUGAUGCAAUCUCCACUCACUGCAACCUCCACCUUCCAGGUUCAAGCGAUUCUUGUGCCUCAGACUCCUGAGUAGAUGGGAUUACAGGUGUGCACCACCAUGCCCAGCUAAUUUUUGUACUUUUAGUAGAGAUGGGUUUUCACUAUGUUGGCCAGGCUGGUCUCCAACUCCUGGCCUCAAGUGAUCCACCCACCUCAGCCUCCCAAAGUGCUGGGAUUACAGGCGUGAGCCACCAUGCCUAGCAAAUACUUAAUAUUUUAAAAGUGCUUUUAUCACUGAUAAACACACUACAUACAUUAUAAUAAUUUAAUCCCCAGCUAACCCUGUGAAGUAUUAUUUCUCCUGUUUCACAGAUGAGGAAGCUGGGAAGUUGGGUUAAGUAACUUGCCUUAGUCACACAGGUAGUUAGGAUUGGCUUAGAAUCUGAACCCAGGCAAUCUGAAUCCAAAGCCCAUAUACUUCACUAUUAUACUAUACUAGUGCAACAAAUAUGAGCUACUAUGGAUAGUGAUUAUAUUAAGAAUUAAAUGUAAUGAAAUUCUUAAAACUCCAGUUCAUUGUUUUCAUGAAACACAAAUAGAACACAGUAGAUAUGAGGAAUUGCUAUAAUUAAAUCUAAACUCAGUUCUCUAAACCAGUGUUUCUCCAAGUGUGUCUUGAGAUUACCUACAAAGAAAUCAUUUGGAAACUCCCUACCUCAAAUCUUUGGAACCACAAUCUCUUGGGGGCAGAGCUACAGAAUCUGAGAUUUUAAAUAAGUUCCCAAGGAGAGCUGGUUUCCCAGCUGUAGUCUGAGUCACAUGCCUAUAAAUUAAACAUAUUUAGUAAUCAUUCUUUUCGUAUUUCUCAGACUGAUCUAGUGUUUUUCUCAAUGUUAUUUUUUAUGAAUUUAGAAUACACUAUUUUGAGUAGCUCAAGUAGAAUUGUCUACAGUUUGAGAAAAUAAAACCUAUCCUUUAAGCUUUCGUAAGUAGGCAAAUAAAAUAAUAAUCUGGCUUAAAAUCAAAAUCAUUAUGAUAUGUGGUGGUGAGGGAAGAGAGAGACCCUCUCAUAUUGUUUUAUAUUGUUUUAUACUCAGAAAAGGAAAGAAAAGCAAAACUAAAGGCAGGUAGCCUGGUGCCUAGGAACCAGACCCGAAACCAGGCCUGGGCCUGCCUGACCUAAGCCUGGUAGUUAAAAUUAGACCCCUGAUCUAGCAACUGAUGUUAUCUAUAGAUUCCAGACAUUGUAUGGAAGGACACUGUGAAACCUCCUGUUCUGUUCUGUUUCACUCGGACCACUGGUGCUUGCAGCCCCUGUCACAUACCCCCUGGCUUGCUCAAUCGAUCACGACUGUCUCAUGCGGACCCCCUUAGAGUUGUGAGCCCUUAAAAGGGACAGAAGUUCAGCAUCUGACGAGCUCGGAUUUUAAGACACUAGCCUGCCGAUGCUCCCAGC